rnacentral:rRNA from 1 species
AUGAAGCAAUUAGUCCUGCAGUACCUGAAGCUGUUCCUGUUGCUAGGGCUUAGCGGAGUCACAACCGAGCACGUGCCUAAAUAUGAUGUGCUUGCAUCCCUGGGGACGCUCCCCCUUGACGGCCAUUUCAGUUUCCACGACUUGCCUGCAGCUGCAAGGGACUUCGGCAACCUCUCCAGUUUCCCGCCAGUCGCUGUGCUUCACCCAGGUUCAGUGGCUGACAUUGCCAGAACCGUGAGGCAUGUGUUCUUGAUGGGUGAGCACUCCACGCUCACAGUGGCAGCUCGUGGACAUGGGCACUCGCUAUAUGGGCAGUCCCAGGCUGCUGGAGGGAUUGUCAUCAGAAUGGAAUCUCUUCAGAGUGUCAAAAUGCAGGUGCAUCCUGGUGCAUCACCGUAUGUGGAUGCCUCAGGUGGAGAACUCUGGAUAAAUGUCUUGAAAAAGACGUUGAAGUAUGGUUUGGCGCCGAAGUCAUGGACAGACUACCUCCACCUUACGGUCGGGGGCACGUUGUCAAAUGCGGGUGUCAGCGGGCAGACAUUCCGGCAUGGUCCACAGAUCAGCAAUGUGAACGAACUGGAGAUUGUAACUGGAAGAGGUGAUAUUAUCACUUGCUCACCAGAACAGAACUCUGAUCUCUUCCAUGCUGCUCUUGGUGGUCUAGGUCAAUUUGGCAUCAUUACUCGGGCCAGGAUCGCUCUUGAGCCUGCUCCACAAAUGGUAAGGUGGAUAAGAGUUCUCUACUUAGAUUUCGUGAGCUUCACCGAGGAUCAGGAGAUGCUUAUUUCAGCAGAGAAGACCUUCGACUACAUUGAAGGUUUCGUAAGCAUAAACAGAACAGGCAUCCUAAACAACUGGAGGUCAUCAUUCAAUCCACAGGACCCAGAACGGGCUAGCCAGUUUGAAACAGACAGAAAAGUGCUCUUCUGCCUUGAGAUGACAAAGAACUUCAACCCUGAAGAAGCUGACAUCAUGGAACAGGAGGUCCAUGCACUACUAUCUCAACUCAGAUACACACCACCGUCCUUAUUCCACACGGACGUCACUUACAUGGAGUUCUUGGAUAGGGUGCACUCCUCUGAGAUAAAGCUGAGAGCUAAGGGCUUGUGGGAAGUCCCACACCCAUGGCUUAAUCUCAUCAUCCCAAGAAGCACUGUCCAUACAUUUGCAAAGCAGGUCUUUGGGAAAAUCCUCGAAGAUAACAACAAUGGUCCCAUAUUGCUCUACCCAGUGAACAAGUCCAGAUGGGACAACCGAACAUCAGUGGUCAUACCAGAUGAGGAAGUUUUCUAUCUGGUGGGAUUCCUACCCUCGGCGAUAGGCCCCCACAGCAUCAAGCGUACACUGAACCUGAACAACCAGAUAAUAGAGUUCUCUAACAAAGCAAGUAUUGGGGUGAAGCAAUAUCUUCCAAACUACGCCACAGAACCCGAGUGGAAAGCCCACUAUGGGGCUAGGUGGGACGCAUUUCAACAGAGGAAAAACACCUAUGACCCCCUGGCAAUCCUAGCUCCAGGACAGAGAAUAUUUCAAAAGACACCAGCGUCACUACCCUUGUCCUCAUGA